GAAAGCUAGGGUAGCAAAUGGGAUUAGAGACCCCAGUAGUCCUAGCCGUAAACGAUGGAUACUAGGUGCUGUGCGACUCGACCCGUGCAGUGCUGUAGCUAACGCGUUAAGUAUCCCGCC
rnacentral:rRNA from 1 species